ensembl:lncRNA
AUGGUACGUGCAAGCACAUGCAUUUUAAUCUGUCAGUUCACAGGAACUGGAAAUUGCCACUAACAGUAACAGAAGCAGGGGAUAUUCAAAUACACUGUGUCUUUUGAACUGAUGGAACUUCCUUAUCUACAACAGCAUAGGCCCAAAAGGAGGGACAAGACCUCCUCAGAGAACAAAGGAACCACAGAUGUUGUCAGAAAUCUAACAGGGAGAUGCUUUCCAAUAGCCUGGAUCUCACCAGCAGCUUCUCUAAGGCUCAGUGUUCGCUGCUUCGUAAGCCUUCAGUCCUUGGUUUGCAGUUCUCCACCCAUGAUAUGCCACCUCUAGCUCCUUCCUUCACACAGCUCCCCCUACAAUGGAAAGGGAACUCCUGUAUCUUAACAUCCAGUUGUGGAACACAAAGACUUCAAUACUGCAACUGUACCUCUGAACCUGAGGGAGGGAGAAAAUUCAGCCUGCAGUGAUAUCCAAAGGCCCCAGGGAGGGAUGCUUACUGCCAAAUGCCACCUCUGGUUUAACCUCAGAAAGCAAACGGUAGUUGAAAUACCUACUAUCAGCGAGCUAAUCAAGAAGCAAGAAAUGACAGCUUUAAAUACAAAGCUAAAUAACAGUACGUAAGAGGAAAUAUAAUCUCAGAAUCCCUUUGGAUCUGCAAGGCUGUUAUCUGCAGGGCAGCAGGCACACACCACGAUGACUCUAGCAGUCAGAGGAAGGCGGUAAUGCAAUGAAAAGACUGGUGGGAAAUCCUUAGUCAUGAAGCCUAACAGUUGGUGAAACAGUCUUCCCAAGGAAACACCAGGACCCCAGUGAGAUAACAGAACCAGACUAGAUAUGAACAAGGCUCUCUGGCAGGGGAUGGUUGGAUGAAUCAGAAGUAUUCUUCUCCCUGUUUCAUCUCUACUCUUGCCCAAGGGGGCCCAGGGGAGCUGAAGGAGGAAGCAGCUUUACUCAGAUGUUCUGGUUCCCACCCUUGCUUCAUCAGAAGCUCAACUACUGCCAGCUAUGGUGUGCUGAGAGCAUUGCAGGAAUUUACAUAACUCCUUCACUGAAGCAUGUGGCACAGGACAAAUGGCAAUAAAGGGAACGUGCUGCUGUCCCAGCUCCACUGGAACCUCCUCACACAGAGGGCCUUCACAUUACACGAGAGACUGUUAGGCUACAAAGCCUCAGCCCAGGUGUCCUGGCUCAACUAAAAGCCUUGACUUACUGCAGGAGGAUUUCCUCAGCUGUCACCAGCAUCUGUUCUAGCAGCAUGCUUUAAUCCAGGCAGUAGUUUUGAAGCCAGAAUCUGCUAUCUGUAACAGGUCUCUAAGUAGCCUUGAGACAGGUUAAGAAGUUCAGGCUUGCUCUGCAGGGACUGUCCCUCAGCAAAGCUUCUGGGGAACUGCAAGAGAAGGCAGAGAAUCAGUGACUAAGUGAAGAUCAACAAGUCACAGCUGUGACCCACUUGCCUUAAAUAUACCAAGGCAGAAGUCCUGCAGGGUAAACAGUCUUCCAGCAAAAGGUGGCUCCGGAAGAGAUCCUCAAAGCACUGAGAGGCCUCACUGCUCAGACUCGUGCCCUCAAACACACUGCCCUCACGAAGUCCCCCUCCAGCUGUC